GCUCCCUGCCCACCUCACCAGCUGGAGGGCAUGGAGCGAGAAGACCCGCCCCCAAGUCCAGCCUCCGCCAGUUGACUGGGUGACCUCACUGCAAGGCCCUCCCCUCUUUGGGCCUCAGUUUCCUCUUCAGAAAACAGAGUGAGUGGGCGCAUCUUUCUUCUCCGGCAGGCCGUUGACAUGAAAACCGAAGAGGAAAAUGGAGAAACCACACUAUCGAGAAGAGCUGUACAUGCCCCAUGGCAUAUAAGCCUCAUGGCAGCAGAGACCAGGUUGGCGCUUGGUACAUUGACUCCAUUCGUGGUUGCUGACCGAGGCGCAGAGCAGUAAAAGGUGUGUGUGUGUGGUGGGGGGCGGGGGGCAUGUCUUCAAGUCACGUGGCUGGCAAGUGAGGCUUCUUCUGAUGUCCUGAGUGGCCUGGCACUGGGGUGAGUGCCCAGGAAUGUAAUGAGCGCCCCACCCCCGGGGGCAUUCAAGCUCAUAGGCUGGACUUGGGAGAAGGUUCUGUAAGCAGGAGGCUAAACUGGAUGACUCCAAAAUAUUCCCAAAGAGCUUGGAACAUGGGCCAUGUGCACAUGUGUGUGUGUGAGCGUGC
rnacentral:lncRNA from 1 species